GAUGAACGCUGGCGGCGUGCCUAAUACAUGCAGGUCGAGCGAACAGACGAGGAGCUUGCUCCUCUGACGUUAGCGGCGGACGGGUGAGUAACACGUGGAUAACCUACCUAUAAGACUGGGAUAACUUCGGGAAACCGGAGCUAAUACCGGAUAAUAUAUUGAACCGCAUGGUUCAAUAGUGAAAGACGGUUUUGCUGUCACUUAUAGAUGGAUCCGCGCCGCAUUAGCUAGUUGGUAAGGUAACGGCUUACCAAGGCAACGAUGCGUAGCCGACCUGAGAGGGUGAUCGGCCACACUGGAACUGAGACACGGUCCAGACUCCUACGGGAGGCAGCAGUAGGGAAUCUUCCGCAAUGGGCGAAAGCCUGAUGGAGCAACGCCGCGUGAGUGAUGAAGGUCUUCGGAUCGUAAAACUCUGUUAUUAGGGAAGAACAAAUGUGUAAGUAACUAUGCACGUCUUGACGGUACCUAAUCAGAAAGCCACGGCUAACUACGUG
rnacentral:rRNA from 1 species